rnacentral:rRNA from 1 species
AAUCAACGCUGGCGGCGUGCCUAACACAUGCAAGUCGAGCGAGAAAAGGGGAGCAAUCCUCUGAGUACAGCGGCGCACGGGUGACGUAACACGUGGGGUAAUCUGCCCUGGGAGUGGGGAAUAACACCGGGAAACCGGUGCUAAUACCGCAUACGAUAACGAGGUCUGCGGAUUUCGUUAUGAAAGGAGCAAUUCGCUCUAGGAGGAGCCCGCGGCUGAUUAGCUAGNGGUGAGGUAAUGGCUCACCAAGGCUACGAUCAGUAUCCGGUCUGAGGAGGACGGUCGGACACACUGGAACUGAGACACGGUCCAGGACUCCUACGGGAGGCAGCAGUGGGGAAUUUUUGG